CAUAUUUUUCAACAACUUCCACUUGGACUAAAGCCAAUCGAUACAAUAUCGUAUACCCAUUUUUGAUUUGUGGUCAUCAAAUUUUUUGAUUUCGAGAGCUUUAGUAAAUGGAUCGAUCAAGUUCUUCCUUUCAUCAAUCUUCUGAAGGUCGAUGUCACCUCAAUCCACGAACUCCCGAAUAAGGUGAUAACAAUGCAGAAUAUAUUUGGUGCGCUGAU
rnacentral:lncRNA from 1 species